AGUGAACGCUGGCGGUAGGCCUAACACAUGCAAGUCGAACGGCCGCACAGUAAUAGCUUGCUUUUCUGGGUGGCGAGUGGGGGACGUGUGAGGAACACAUCGGAAUCUACUUUUUGGUGGGGGAUAACGUAGGGAAACUGACGCUAAUACCGCAAACGACCUACUGGUGAAAGCACGGGAUAUUCGGACCUUGCUCGAUUGAAUGAGUCGUUGUCGGACUCGUUAGUUGGCGGGGUAAAGGCCCACGAAGGCGACGAUCCGUAGCUGGUCUGAGACGAUGGUCUGCCACACUGGCACUGAGACACGGUCCAGACUCCUACGGGAGGCAGCAGUCGGGAAUAUUUGACAAUGGUCGCAAGUCUGAUCGAGCCAUUCCGCGUGAGUGAAGAAGGCCUUCGGGUUGUAAAGCUCUUUUGUAUGGUAAGAAAAGCAGCGGGUUGAUACCCAGGUGUUUUGACGGUACCCUAAGAGUAAGCCCCGGCUAACUUCGUG
rnacentral:rRNA from 1 species